rnacentral:tRNA from 1 species
GACCGCGUAGCUCAGUUGGCAGAGCAUUGGGCUAGCAUUCCAAAGGUCGUAGGUUUGAUUCCCACCGUGGCCA